rnacentral:tRNA from 1 species
GGAGAGAUGGCGGAGCGGUCAAUCGCACCUGACUGUAAAUCAGGCGCCUUCGGGCUACGUAGGUUCAAAUCCUGCUCUCUCCACCA